CAGCAAAGGAAAUAAUCAGGUUGCAAACGCAACCUAGGGAAUGGAAGAAAACAAUUGCAAACCAUGUAUCUGAUAAAGAGUGAAUCACCACAUUGAUUCUUCAAGUGAUUUCUGUGCACUUCUCAGCCAAGGCAUUGCCCGUUUUCCCAGCCAUGCCCUUCAUCAAUGAAGAAGGAAGCGCCCUCCAUGCAUGAGGGACAGCAGACAGCUAUCAACAUUCACUUUUUACUUUCCACUUGCAAAUACUUUCACUCCUUCCCCAAAAGGAACCAUCCAAAGCCUACUCCUGGUAUCAGGCUCAAAGUCCAGGAGCUUAUGACUAUUUCACAGGCAGGUCUGGCUGCAGCUGUUUUGGCUUUGGACAUCUAUAUACUGACCAAAAACAAACCCAACGAAACAAAAAGCAAAAACAAAACAAACAAAAACUACUUUCUUCCCUACAAGCAAAACACAAUGAUAGAAGGACUGUAUAAUUUCAAUGAACACUCUGAAAUCCCACUGACAGACAUUGCUUUUUAAGUUUCUGUUCUACUUCUUGAGCCAUUGUUCAAAUUGUUUCUUCUUUUUAAUUACCAUAUUGACCACAUAUGAGGAGGUCAAUAGGAAAUAUCUGUCUUUAGGGCUGCACAGGUUUCCCAGCAUGCUCUCUCCCUAGAGAAGGUUGGGGGCCCAAGCCUUAAGUCCUGAAAGGUCAGUAGCUUUUAGACCACACUGGUGGAUCUUCAAAAAUACAACUCUUUCAAAUCUACUUUGUUUCAGUAGUCACAUCCAAAAUUAUUUUUCAGACAUGCAUUUUUCUUUCAGUAGAGUUAAUUGCUGGUAUUUUGAGCCUAUCAGUUUCAUGGAAGAGCCAAGCCAAUUCUCUUUAUACCUGAAACAUUAUGUCUAAUUAAAGUAAUUCAGCAAAAUGUUGGUAGUUUAACAAAGAGGAUAAUGACCUUCUUGAUUUGUUCCUUGCCUCAAGACUGAAUUUUCAUCAAUCUGAGUCUGAAUGCUUGGAGACUGAGAGUCGCUUAUAUUUCUCAACCCUUCAAGUCAUUGAAUUAGGAAUUUUCCAUUCCUUUUCUUCCUGCUUGUAAAUUGAACAAUUUUUUUUCUGAUCUCAUCUCUUUUUCAUUGACCUUUGUCAAAUGUAACCUUUAGCAACCAAACCAUGUUACCAAAGUCUCUCUUCCCAUUUAUUUGCCUAAACCUAUGCUCUUAUUAGAAACUGAUUUGUCUUCCAACUUACCAUUGAUGGCAGUUUUCCUAAGUGUUUCACUGCAACCUAAUAUGGAUCAUCAUCCUUACAAAUGUUAAGAGUUUUCUUACUGCUCGCUGUCCAUCCUAAAGUCAAUGUCACAUAGUUUAGAGUUAUUGUUAUGAUUAUAUUCCUUCUUUGGUACAAAUUGUUCUGCUCCAGCACUACACAAUCCAAAAAAACAACCAACUUAAUGAUAAAAAAAAAAGUUUCCUUCCCACAUUACAUGCCCAUUACAGGUAAACAGUGGUAUUCUGUUCUUUGUAGUCAAAAAAGGAUCUGAACUGAUGGCUAUCUCAUCAUUGACACAUGCGUCUAAGAGCUCAGGGGUUGGAGAAGAAAGAGUAUGUAAACAAAGUGACAGCUCUGAAAGCUUCCACCUAGAAGUGACAAGUGUCUCUUCCACUCACACCUCAUUGGGAAAAGCUGUUAUGUUGCCAGUUUCCCUAUGCAGAGGCAAGAAACUGUGAGUAGCUAUUCAGAAAUAGGCCACGAGUUCAACAUCAGUGAAGGAGAUGAAAACCACCAAUAACCACGUGAGUAAGCUUGGAAUCGGAUCCUUCCUCAAUCACAUCUUCAGAUGAGAUGGACUCCAGCACAGCCAAUAUCUUAACUGCAGCCUUGUGAGAGACCCUGGAACAAAGGAUCCAGCUAGAUCAUGCCUGGAUCCCUAGUCCACAGAAAUCGUUAGAUAAUAAGCGUGUGUUGCUUUAAGUCACUAAGAUUUCGGAGAAUUUUUACAAAGCAAUAAAGGACUAAUAUACUUGUAUAUAAGCUGUACCUGUUUCCCCUUUUUUUCCCUUUUGAGACCAUCUUUGUUUUUUUAUUGAAGAAUUUAUUACCUGUUGCUUUAAUGUAACUACUUUUAUAUUUGAGUUAAAUUAACCAUUUUAUUUUGCCUUGUUUAGCUUGAUGGAGAAUUUUUACCAUUCCAAUUUUUGCCUCUUUAACAACUUGGACAUUUGGAAAUUUUGUGAAGCUCCCUUGACUUAUCAAAGCUUAAUGCUAAUAAGUUCCUUUGCUCCCUUUUAGAAAAAGACCCUUGUAUAUAACAGGCAUACCUACUUUAGAGUUUGUGUAUGUUUCCCAUAUCUGAGCCAUUGUAUUACUGUUGUCCAUUGUUUUCUCUGACUCUCAUGCAUAAAUAAACCUUUAUUUAUUUUCUGGCUCUU
rnacentral:lncRNA from 1 species